CAGCCCUCAAGUGUGCAGUCUUGAUUAGCACCUCUAACUCUUCCUCCCUACGGCUGUUCUGCUGCCAGGAAGUUUAGACCCCUACUUUGAGCUGCUGUGGGGUCCAGCACAGGUUCUGGGAUAUCUUAUCUACAAACCUUGAAAGACCUCCCUGUGCCCUGCCUUCUGGCUUACUCUUGCUGUUCCUUCUGGCACAACAGCUUCCUACUUUUCCAGUCCAGAAAGGAUCCAUCUGGGGGCUCUGUGCUAACCUUUAGCACAAGGAGGAGAAUUCCAAAAUGUAAAGGGGGAAAUACCCAUGUUUCCUCUGACAAGUUUACCUGGGUUGAAGUCAGUGAUGUCGCCCCCCAAAAAGCACCUCAAGCAUUACAAAAAGGCUAGAAGCCUUGCAUCCAGAGCCGAAUAUGGGCUUUCUCACAUGAAUGAAUUUGCUUUCAGCUGAGAAUUUACUUUUAACAAAUAAGCUGUUUUACAGGAUGCAAAGGUAGAAGGGGUGGAGUGUCUUAUGACUUACUACAUUAUGGGUGCAGCCACUCACAUGAUUUCUGGAUCCUCAUGUGUCUGCCUUGCUUGUUUGGACAAGGUUGUGCAAGGUGGGAGAUCUGAGAGAUGAGAAGGCGGAUACAAUCAUCUUUGGUUCUUCACACAGCUACUGUAGUUUCUACAGGGUACUACUGGGAUCAUAAAAACGACAACUAGAAAUGUUGAUCUGAACACCAGCCCUGUCCAGUUUGAGAGAAAAACACAGAUCCUUUAAAAGUAGUUCACGGGUGCUGAUGAGAACCAGUAGUCUAUGUUCACAAACAUCCAUGAAAGGAAAUGGGAGUGAAGAGCUGUGCUCUGUACAGUGAUUUUUGAUCACUGUACAGUGAUUUUUGAUCAUCAGAAGGUAGAAAAUUUAUUGCCUGUUGAUGUUAAUCUCUGACUCUUUUCCGUCUCUUCCAUGUUGGCUCCAGAAAUCAGGAUGUAAACCUUAGUUGAAGGUGCCUAAAAUUCCAGUCAGCAGGAGACAAGGCUCUCAGCACCUUGCAGGAUCCAGCUCACAGAGGCUACUUUUGGAGAAGCUUGUCUGCCUAUGUAUUCAACUGGCUGGAUGAUCUCUCAUCAGAUGGCUCCAUAUGUUAUUGCACAACCCAGAUAUUUCUGCUGUCAACUGCAGGUAGUGGAUGAAGUUGUAUUCCUCUUGCCUGCCUGGAGCAUCUCUGAAUCAAAUCCCAGCUGUUGCCUUUCCUGACCCAGACCCAUGAGGUGUUGAACAUUUCUGAUGAGGAAUUGGGUACCUUCAACACUAUGUGACUGUGAAGUGACUCCAAAGCAGCUGAAACAAUAUUUGGAAAAGAUUUUCCACCUGCAAAAUAUCUGAACGACCCCUGCCAUAUCUCCUACCCACAUUAUGCUGUGUGGAAUACUCUGCAGAAGAAAAUUCUUUUCCUUGAAGCAUGAAGUCAGUGCUAGAAAUGACCUCUGUCAUUACACUUGAAAUAAAACAAAGAUUCCUAUUUGGAGGAAGAAUAUCCCCAGAUUUAUAAAUGUCUAGCCCUGAAAAUGCUUAGCAACUGCAUGUAAUCUGCAUUUUUAUCCUGCAAAGAGUUGUGACCCUUUUCAGAACACAUCAGCAGAAUUAAAAGGGCUGAGGGGGAGUUUUCACUUGCUUUCUGAUGGCAAGGUAGGACU